rnacentral:rRNA from 1 species
CGGGAGGCAGCAGUGGGGAAUUUUGGACAAUGGGCGCAAGCCUGAUCCAGCAAUGCCGCGUGUGUGAAGAAGGCCUUCGGGUUGUAAAGCACUUUUGUCCGGAAAGAAAACCUCGUGGUUAAUACCCGUGGGGGAUGACGGUACCGGAAGAAUAAGCACCGGCUAACUACGUGCCAGCAGCCGCGGUAAUACGUAGGGUGCAAGCGUUAAUCGGAAUUACUGGGCGUAAAGCGUGCGCAGGCGGUUCGCUAAGACAGAUGUGAAAUCCCCGGGCUUAACCUGGGAACUGCAUUU